rnacentral:rRNA from 1 species
AUUGAACGCUGGCGGCGUGCUUAACACAUGCAAGUCGAGCGGCAGCGGGCCCGCAAGGGUGCCGGCGAGCGGCGGACGGGUGAGCAAUACAUAGGAAUCUGCCUCAGAGCGGGGGAUAGCCAGGGGAAACCCUGAUUAAUACCGCAUGACGUCGAGAGACCAAAGUGGGGGACCGUAAGGCCCCACACUCUGAGAUGAGCCUAUGUCGGAUUAGCUAGUUGGCGGGGUAACGGCCCACCAAGGCGACGAUCCGUAGCUGGUCUGAGAGGACGAUCAGCCACACCGGAACUGAGACACGGUCCGGACUCCUACGGGAGGCAGCAGUGGGGAAUAUUGGACAAUGGGCGAAAGCCUGAUCCAGCGACGCCGCGUGGGUGAAGAAGGCCU